UUUCUAGAAGCCAUCAACAAGAAGUACAAAAAGUUCUCCAAGAAUAAGAAGAAUGAGCUUCUAAGCACUCUACAUUCCACUAUUUAUGAUGGUGUUAGUGGAAUUAGAGAGCACAUUGACAAGAUUGUGGCCUGUUAUCACAAGAUCAAGGCAAUUGGUAUGGAACUUGAUGAGGAUUACAUUGUGUGGUUCAUUAUGU
rnacentral:lncRNA from 1 species